UACGUAGGGGGCAAGCGUUGUCCGGAUUUAUUGGGCGUAAAGAGCGUGUAGGCGGUUUGGUAGGUCCGCUGUGAAAACUCGAGGCUCAACCUCGAGACGCCGGUGGAAACCAUCAGACUAGAGUCCGGAAGAGGAGAGCGGAAUUCCUGGUGUAGCGGUGAAAUGCGCAGAUAUCAGGAAGAACACCCGUGGCUAAGGCGGCCCUCUAGUACGGUACUGACGCUGAGACGCGAAAGCGUGGGGAGCGAACAGG
rnacentral:rRNA from 1 species